ensembl:lncRNA
AGGAAAUUGUCUUUGUGUGGACUUAUCUCGAGGAAGAUGGCCAUCUCAGGUGGUAUGCACAUGGCUCUUGCUCAAGCACCCAGGGAUGUCACGUAGGCAGGAAAAAAGAAGGAUAAAAGAAGGUCCAACAACCAUGAGGAUAGGUGUCUGCCAUCAGAUCCCUCACCACAAAAGGCCUGCAUGCUGACAGUCUCAAGGUUUCUGCCAUCAGAUCCCUCAUUACAGACUGUAUGCUGACGGACUUUCCUGGGCCUGCUACCGGAGACCUGCUGCUUCCUCCCGGGCUUACUCUGUGGCUUCUUCCUGGACCCACGUGGUACCUGCACCCUCUCGUUGCCCAAGACCGGCCUCACUGCUCCUGCCCUUUGGCCUCGGACCAUCGGAACGUCGUGCAACGGGACUACUGCCAGAUCCUGGUGGUGACUAUCCCUCCUUUACACAAUUCUUGCCUCUUUCUAUCUUUUCUAUCUCUCGCCUUCCCUUCCCCAUCACCCCAAUCCGUAAUAGUGUCUGUCCUCCCCUUUCUUCAUCUUCCUUAUUAACAUUUGUAAUAAACUGGUCGGACCAACAUUUGAACCAUUGUUUCUUAAUCUCAUGCCAGGCAUACAUAUUUCAAAGAACCUCCUCUCCCUCCUAUAAAUUGGAGUGAGACAAUUAGCUACAAAGAAUGAAGUAAGUACAUCUAUUCUAGCUAUUUU